rnacentral:rRNA from 1 species
AUUGAACGCUGGCGGAAGGCCUAACAAAUGCAAGUCGAACGAGUGGCGGACGGGUGAGUAAUUUCUGGGAAACUGACUGAUGGAGGGGGAUAACUACUGGAAACGGUAGCUAAUACCGCAUACCAUCGGAUGUGCCCAGAUGGGAUAAGCUAGUAGGUGGGGUACAGGCUCACAUAGGCGACGAUCCCUAGCUGGUCUGCGAGGAUGACCAGGCACCCUGUAACUGAGACACUGUCCCGACUCCUACGGGAGGCAGCAGUGGGGAAUAUUGCACAUGGGGCGCAAUCCUGAUGCAGCCAUGCCGCGUGUAUGAAGAAGUCCGUCGGGUUGUAAAGUACUUUCAGCGGGGAGGCGUUACCCGCAGAAGAAGCACCGGCUAACGCCGUGCCAGCAGCCGCGGUAAUAC